CCUACGGGUGGCAGCAGUGGGGAAUAUUGCACAAUGGGGGAAACCCUGAUGCAGCGACGCCGCGUGAGUGAAGAAGUAUUACGGUAUGUAAAGCUCUAUCAGCAGGAACGAGACAAGACGGUACCUGACUAAGAAGCCCCGGCCAACUACGUGGCCGCAGCCUCGGUAAUACGUAGGGGGCAAGCGUUAUCCGGAAUCACUGGGUGUAAAGGGAGCGUAGACGGCUGUGCAAGCCUGAAGUGAAAGGCGGGGGCCCAACCCCUGGACUGCUUUUGGAACUGUACGGCGGGAGUGCGGGAGAGGUAAGUGGAAUUCGUAGUGUAGCGGUGAAAUGCGUAGAUAUUAGGAGGAACACCAGUGGCGAAGGCGGCUUACUGGACUGUAACUGACGUUGAGGCUCGAAAGCGUGGGGAGCGAACAGGAUUAGAUACCCUUGUAGUC
rnacentral:rRNA from 1 species